rnacentral:rRNA from 1 species
CCUACGGGAGGCAGCAGUGGGGGAUAUUGCACAAUGGGGGGAACCCUGAUGCAGCGACGCCGCGUGGGUGAAGAAGCGCCUCGGCGCGUAAAGCCCUGUCAGCAGGGAAGAAAAUGACGGUACCUGAAGAAGAAGCCCCGGCUAACUACGUGCCAGAAGCCGCGGUAAUACGUAGGGGGCAAGCGUUAUCCGGAUUUACUGGGUGGAAAGGGGGCGCAGACGGCGAUGCAAGCCAGGAGUGAAAGCCCGGGGCCCAACCCCGGGACUGCUCUUGGAACUGCGUGGCUGGAGUGCAGGAGGGGCAGGCGGAAUGCCUGGUGUAGCGGUGAAAUGCGUAGAUAUCAGGAGGAACACCGGUGGCGAAGGCGGCCUGCUGGACUGCAACUGACGUUGAGGCCCGAAAGCGUGGGGAGCAAACAGGAUUAGAUACCCCAGUAGUC